GAUGAACGCUGGCGGCGUGCCUAAUACAUGCAAGUCGAGCGAACAGACGAGGAGCUUGCUCCUCUGACGUUAGCGGCGGACGGGUGAGUAACACGUGGAUAACCUACCUAUAAGACUGGGAUAACUUCGGGAAACCGGAGCUAAUACCGGAUAAUAUAUUGAACCGCAUGGUUCAAUAGUGAAAGAUGGUUUUGCUGUCCUUUAUAGAUGGAUCCGCGCCGCAUUAGCUAGUUGGUAAGGUAACGGCUUACCAAGGCGACGAUGCGUAGCCGACCUGAGAGGGUGAUCGGCCACACUGGAACUGAGACCCGGUCCAGACUCCUACGGGAGGCAGCAGUAGGGAAUCUUCCGCAAAGGGCGAAAGCUUGCCGGAGCAACGCCGCGUGAGUGAUGAAGUUCUUCGGAUCUUAAAACUCUGUUAUUAGGGAAGAACAAAUGUGUAAGUAACUAUGCACGUCUUGACGGUACCUAAUCAGAAAGCCACGGCUAACUACGUG
rnacentral:rRNA from 1 species